rnacentral:rRNA from 1 species
UUGGCACAAUGGGCGCAAGCCUGAUGCAGCCAUGCCGCGUGUAUGAAGAAGGCCUUCGGGUUGUAAAGUACUUUCAGCAGUGAGGAAGGCGGGUACGUUAAUAGCGUGCUCGUUUGACGUUAGCUGCAGAAGAAGCACCGGCUAACUCCGUGCCAGCAGCCGCGGUAAUACGGAGGGUGCGAGCGUUAAUCGGAAUUACUGGGCGUAAAGCGCAUGCAGGUGGUUUGUUAAGUCAGAUGUGAAAGCCCGGGGCUCAACCUCGGAAUUGCAUUUGAAACUGGCAGACUAGAGUACUGUAGAGGGGGUAGAAUUUCAGGUGUAGCGGUGAAAAUGCGUAGAGAUCUGAAGGAAUACCGGUGGCGAAGGCGGCCCCCUGGACAGAUACUGACACUCAGAUGCGAAAGCGUGGGGAGCAAACAGGAUUAGAUACCCUGGUAG